CCUACGGGAGGCAGCAGUGGGGAAUAUUGGACAAUGGGCGAAAGCCUGAUCCAGCCAUGCCGCGUGUGUGAAGAAGGCCUUCGGGUUGUAAAGCACGUUCAGUGGGGAAGAAAGCCUUGGGGCUAAUACCCUCGAGGAAGGACAUCACCCACAGAAGAAGCACCGGCUAACUCCGUGCCAGCAGCCGCGGUAAUACGGAGGGUGCGAGCGUUAAUCGGAAUUACUGGGCGUAAAGCGCGCGUAGGCGGUCUGAUAAGCCGGUUGUGAAAGCCCCGGGCUCAACCUGGGAACGGCAUCCGGAACUGUCAGGCUAGAGUGCAGGAGAGGAAGGUAGAAUUCCCGGUGUAGCGGUGAAAUGCGUAGAGAUCGGGAGGAAUACCAGUGGCGAAGGCGGCCUUCUGGACUGACACUGACGCUGAGGUGCGAAAGCGUGGGUAGCAAACAGGAUUAGAUACCCUUGUAGUC
rnacentral:rRNA from 1 species